GACGGAGGGUGCUAGCGUUGUUCGGAAUCACUGGGCGUAAAGGGCGCGUAGGCGGCCCCUCGCGUCGGACGUGAAAGCCCCGGGCUCAACCUGGGAACCGCGCUUGAGACUGGCAUGCUCGAGUUCGGGAGAGGAUGGUGGAAUUCCCAGUGUAGAGGUGAAAUUCGUAGAUAUUGGGAAGAACACCGAUGGCGAAGGCAGCCAUCUGGACCGACACUGACGCUGAGGCGCGAAAGCGUGGGGAGCAAACAGG
rnacentral:rRNA from 1 species